AUGGAGCUGCCCAGGGCUGCCAGCUCUGAAGGGGUGGUGGAGCUCUGUGCCACGUGGUGUGCCUUGGGAUUGCCUGCCCAUGCACACUUGCCUUCCAGCUACACCCUCGUCUAUUGCCUCCAGCUACAGAGUACCAUGUCGCUCCCCCUCUUCAUGGAGGAACGACACCAAACCCUGCCUAGGCUUCAUAUCCGAGUCACUGCACCAUUAUGUCGCUCCCCCUCUUUGUGGAGGAACGACACAGGACCCUGCAUUGUUCUUUUGUCUGCUCGGCCCUUCCCGGGUUUGCUGCUGGUCCUUCCCGGGUUGGCUACCGUCCCUUCCACCUCCGUGGAAGGGCGGUUCCCCCUGCCACUUUCCCCACUUCCGCGGGGGAGCAGCACACCGCCGGCCAGCUCUCUUGGGGGCUGCACAGGUGUUCCUUCAGAUAGAUGUUCCCGGUGCAUGUUGUCUCUCUCCUCCUUUAUAGUCCUCUUCCACCAAUCCCAACUCUGCUACCCACACGCCGAGUAUGCUGCUCUCCUCCAAUCAGGAGCAGGUCCUGCAGCUUAUUGGUUGAACUGGAGGCAGCUGUGUAGAAGCUGUUUCCUCCUCUCCCAGCGCCAUAUUGUGGGAAAGCAGAUGCAUACAAUAAGUCUUAAUUCCAGUAACAGUCUAGUCCGAGUUGCUCCCCACAGAUCCCCCUUUCUUUUUAUUUUUGGCGUUGAUACGUGCCUGUCUUCGGUGCCCCGCGGCACACACUCUGCUCUGCUUGCUAGAGUUGCCCACAGGUGCUUACAAGCCCUACCAAUCAGGCAAACUGAAUCCGGGUCCUCUCUUCGCCAUGUUGUGAGGAGGUUUUUAGGCGCUGAUGCGUGCCUGUGUUCGGUGCCCUGCAGCGCAUGCUCUGCUCUGCUAGAACUUCCUGCAGGUGCUUACAAGCCCUACCAAUCAGGCAAACUGAAUCCAAGCCCUCUCAUUGCCGUCUUGUGGGGAGACUUAUUGGUGUUGAUUCGUGCCUAUCUUCGGUGA
rnacentral:lncRNA from 1 species